CUGGCUCCUCGGUUUCUCUGGGUGUAGUCCCAACCCUGGCCCGCAGUCCGUACAAUCGAUAACAACAAAGCUACAGCAAAACAGACUUACACAACACUAUGCAAAACGAACCACAAAUCGAUAACACUAAACAAUAGGAGCAUCUUACAGAUAAACAACAUAAACAGCUGUGACGAUAAGUAAAUGUAAACAACAACGAUCGGGUCCCGGUUCCGGACCCAGCGUACCCGCCCUAACAUGAGACGAUCACCUACUUGUCUCCCACAUUUUGGCCAUUAUAUGGCCUGCAUCAGCCUGUGCCGGCUAUUACGGUACGGAUACAGAUCGGGCAUUUUAAACAGGUGCAUACGAUAAGUUGAAUAUAUAUAUAACAUUUCUCGCAACUUCCCUUCAACAGGUGCAUUUAACGUGUUGCAUCAUUUCAUAUUCGUGACAAUUUAUAUUAAUCUUUAAAAUCUUAAAUUUAGUACAGAACGCAUUGUUUUACAACGUUUGUACGGAACAGGAGGUAAAAACACGGUCAAAACUUAUUGCCAGUCAACAAAUGAAAGAAAAACAAGGGGAGACAUAUCAAUACAGAGACCCUCAAAUAUGGGUCUGCUUCGGCCUCUCCCUUUUAUUCGGGCGAGGGAAGAACGACGUGGAACGGACUCACUCAGUGAUGAAGUAGGCGGGGUCUCGUCUAUGGCCGCCUCUCGUCGUUAGAGUCCCGUCCGUAAUGGCUCGUCUCGCCGUCGAUGUCUGGCCGUGUUUGGAAAAUCUGGCCCGCAAAUAUCUGGGUUGAUCUGGCCAACGUCCUCCGGCGCUGGAUUUAGACGUUGUCUGCCACCAAAUGGCUGCGGUUGCUCUAAUGGAGUACCCCUUUUCUUGUUGUUUUAAGCGCCGCACGACGGUGUAUUAUUGUUCUUGUGUACCAUUGCUUUUUGUAAUUGGUUAGCAGUUAAGGA